rnacentral:lncRNA from 1 species
CACAGUCUGAAGCAACAUCAAAUGUAUGGAAGAAAACACAAAAUGAUUAUAUAUAUCCAUCACAUUUUCAAACUGACUUAUAUUAUUUCCAGUCAAAAAAACAUUUUACACAUGUAUAUUUUCAAGGAAUAGGAUCCCAAAGAUACUUUGGCAUGAUGAUGCAUAUCAAUUCUUGUCAGAGUUAACAUAUAACACAACAGGUAUGACAAGUGGGGCAUGCUCGCUGAGUGUGUAUGAUAUCCUAGUACAAUUCAAAGGAGUAGGCAUCCAUAAGCCACUGGAGCCCAGAAAACCUAGAGAUGGCCAGUUAGCACCAGCCUACCAAGGAAAACUUUUAAACAAGCUUCUGGAAACAGAAUGGUAACGGCAACUUUGGUCACAUUAAGGCAGCAUGAAAAGUUUCUCAAUGCAACACAUGGACACUGAAAGGGAGGCAAUGCAUGUUGGCAACAAGAAAAUCUGGAUAGCCAUGAAAAGGAAAAAGUUUUUCUUUGAGUAAAAGUGAACAGCGAGUAGAAACAAAUCUGGCAAUUGUACACUGCAAGAAACAUUGAUGUGCAUAUAGAAAGAAGAAAAAGGAAAUUAUUUUAACAGAACUGGUUGAUAAUGAAGAGUGCCUUUUGUACUGACAAGGUCUAUUGCAUUUUUGUAUUAUAUAAAUCAAAUUAGUCUAGUGAUCCAUAUAUUGCUUCAUAUUUUCAUCUCAACGUUCAGAAACUCGAUUUUGGCUUCAGAUUUGACCAGGCUGAACGAAUUUUAGUUUCAGUAGUUUCCACAGUUUCAGCUCCAAUAUCAGUAGUUUGACAAUAAAAAAUAGAAAAAU